rnacentral:rRNA from 1 species
GACGAACGCUGGCGGCGUGCCUAACACAUGCAAGUCGAACGAAGCGCUUUGGAUGGAUCCUUCGGGUGACAGAAGGAGUGACUUAGUGGCGGACGGGUGAGUAACGCGUGGGUAACCUGCCUCACACAGGGGGAUAACAGUUAGAAAUGACUGCUAAUACCGCAUAUGCACACAGUACCGCAUGGUACAGGGUGGAAAGAUCUGUCGGUGUGGGAUGGACCCGCGUUGGAUUAGCUAGUUGGCAGGGUAACGGCCUACCAAGGCGACGAUCCAUAGCCGGCCUGAGAGGGUGGACGGCCACAUUGGGACUGAGACACGGCCCAA